rnacentral:rRNA from 1 species
CAAAAUCACAAACGACUCUCGGCAACGGAUAUCUCGGCUCACGCAUCGAUGAAGAACGUAGCAAAAUGCGAUACUUGGUGUGAAUUGCAGAAUCCCGUGAACCAUCGAGUUUUUGAACGCAAGUUGCGCCCGAAGCCAUUCGGUCGAGGGCACGUCUGCCUGGGCGUCACGC